UUCUCCUGCAACACUCAUCUUUUACUCCUACUCAUACUCAUUUCUUCUUCCUCUCUUAAUGCAGACAGAUGCAAGUUUCUAUGAAAUUUUUUCCCUCACCAAGUCUACAUGGAUCAACAAAAGAGAAUUUGAAGAUAGAACAGCUUCGUGAUGUCGAAAAGUGCUUUAGAAAUCUAUAUAAUUAUUGGCUCUGUUCGGUAACAAUUUUAAAAGUGGAUUUUUAUUUUUUUUAAUCAAAAUUAUAAAAACAUUAUUUGAAAGUAAUGUUCGGUAACUAAUUUUACUUUUUGUUUUUUUAAUUUAAAAUCAAAUUUAAAUAAAUUUUAAAAACAGAUAUUUUAUGAUUUUAAAAAAUUUUAAAAUCACUUUUUUUCUCAUUUCAUUAUCUCUCUCUGGAUCGUUCCUUGCUCAGUUCUAUUUCGAAAAUUCAUCAAUGGCUUCAGCUAUUCCAGCAAAAGAAGAGAUAAAUCAAUUGGCACUACGAGUUCUCGAUCGGCGAAAAAAGCAAAGUUCUCACUUGCAUUGGCAGAAACAUUGACGGUAUAUAAUGAAACUGCAAAGCGAAAGAUAGAAAUGUAUGAGAAUUCAAUGACAUUGACAAAACAUCACUUAUUGGAUGAGUGUAUUGAAGCUCUCAAUCAAAUUGACGGAAUUAGUGGAGAAGUAUACGCGAAGGCUAUUGAGAAGUUUGAGAGCGAGUGUCUAGAGCAUUAUUUCUAAAGAUGCCAAAACAUUAUUAAUAAUUAAAACUUUUUAAAUAUUUUGUUUCAAGAUUAGACAAUUAUUAGUUCAUAUUUUAUUAUGAUUUUGUCAGAUUUGUGUUAUAGAUAAUGAAUUUUGUGAUUUCAAAUUACUUGAAUUUUUUUAAAA